AGAGUUUGAUCCUGGCUCAGAUUGAACGCUGGCGGCAUGCCUAACACAUGCAAGUCGAACGCGAAAUCACCUUCGGGUGAAAGUAGAGUGGCGGACGGGUGAGUAACGCGUGGGAAUCUGCCCAGUAGUGGGGGAUAACUCGAGGAAACUCGAGCUAAUACCGCAUACGCCCCAUGGGGGAAAGGCUUCGGCCGCUAUUGGAUGAGCCCGCGUCAGAUUAGUUAGUUGGUAGGGUAAAGGUUUACCAAGGUAAUGAUCUGUAGCUGGUCUGAGAGGACGAACAGCCACACUGGGACUGAGAUAUGGCCCAGACUCCUAUGGGAGGCAGCAGUGGGGAAUAUUGGACAAUGGGCGAAAGCCUGAUCCAGCAAUGCCGCGUGUGUGAAGAAGGCCUGUGGGUUGUAAAGCACUUUCAGUUGGGAAGAUGAUGACGUUACCAACAGAAGAAGCACCGGCUAACUCCGUGCUAGCAGUUGUGGUAAUACGGAGGGUGCAAGCGUUAAUCGGAAUUACUGGGCGUAAAGCGCGCGUAGGCGGCUAAGUCAGUCAGAUGUGAAAGCCCAGGGUUUAACCUGGGAACUGCAUUUGAUACUGCUUGGCUAGAGUAUGGUAGAGGGAAGUGGAAUUCCAGGUGUAGCGGUGAAAUGCGUAGAUAUCUGGAGGAAUAUUAGUGGCGAAGGCGACUUCCUGGACCAAUACUGACGCUGAGGUGCGAAAGCGUGGGUAGUAAACAGGAUUAGAUAUUCUGGUAGUCCACGCCGUAAACGAUGUCAACUAGCCGUCGGAUCCAUUUAAGGGUUUGGUGGCGCAGCUAACGCGAUAAGUUGACCGCCUGGGGAGUACGGCCGCAAGGUUAAAACUCAAAGGAAUUGACGGGGGCCCGCACAAGCGGUGGAGCAUGUGGUUUAAUUUGAUGCAAUGUGAAGAAUUUUACCAGCCCUUGAUAUCCUCGGAAUUUUUAGAAAUGGAUUGGUGUUUUUGGGAACCGAGUGAUAGGUGCUGUAUGGCUGUCGUCAGCUCGUGUUGUGAGAUGUUGGGUUAAGUUUUGUAACGAGCGUAACCCUUGUCCUUAGUUGCCAGUAUAUAAUGGUGGGAAUUUUAAGGAGACUGCCGGUGAUAAACCGGAGGAAGGUGGGGAUGACGUUAAGUCAUUAUGGCCCUUAUGGGCUGGGUUAUACACGUGCUACAAUGGCCGGUAUAGAGGGUUGCAAACCCGUGAGGGGGAGCUAAUCUUAUAGAACCGGUCGUAGUCCGGAUCGCAGUCUGUAAUUUGACUGCGUGAAGUUGGAA
rnacentral:rRNA from 1 species